UGGGGAAUCUUGGACAAUGGGCGCAAGCCUGAUCCAGCCAUGCCGCGUGAGUGAAGAAGGCCUUCGGGUUGUAAAGCUCUUUUACCAGGGACGAUAAUGACGGUACCUGGAGAAUAAGCCCCGGCAAACUUCGUGCCAGCAGCCGCGGUAAUACGAAGGGGGCUAGCGUUGUUCGGAAUUACUGGGCGUAAAGCGCACGUAGGCGGGUCGUUAAGUCAGGGGUGAAAUCCCAGAGCUCAACUCUGGAACUGCCUUUGAUACUGGCGACCUAGAGUCCGGAAGAGGUUAGUGGAAUUCCCAGUGUAGAGGUGAAAUUCGUAGAUAUUGGGAAGAACACCAGUGGCGAAGGCGGCUAACUGGUCCGGUACUGACGCUGAGGUGCGAAAGCGUGGGGAGCAAACAGG
rnacentral:rRNA from 1 species